CGCCGAGGAAAGCCGGGCCGCGGCACCUAGCUCUGGGUGCCCCUCGGAACGAAGGGGACGGAUCGCAGCGGCCCUUCAGUGUCCUCAUACCUCAGUGUAACACCAAGAUUUCUGUGUCGAAAAUGGGUCUGGAACCCGGGCUCGCCUCCCAAGUCCUGCGAGGGUUCCUGCGAGGGAUGUUGUUUUCCUGUAACUGACCUUGAACGCACGAAGUGGCCUGCAGCAAGAACACAGCCAACCUCAAGGGGCGCCGGGGAGCAGCCUGCCCAACCUUGGCCGCGAUCUUUGCCCCACUCUGCUCGCAGUUGGGGACUGGGUCUCCAAGCCUCUGUGGGCUCUGGUUGUGGGCCCAGGAACCCAGUGCUGAGCCUGCAGCAGACGCUCCACAAAUAUUUGCUGAGUGA